rnacentral:rRNA from 1 species
GAUUCAGCGGCGGACGGGUGAGUAAUGCCUAGGAAUCUGCCUGGUAGUGGGGGACAACGUUUCGAAAGGAACGCUAAUACCGCAUACGUCCUACGGGAGAAAGCAGGGGACCUUCGGGCCUUGCGCUAUCAGAUGAGCCUAGGUCGGAUUAGCUAGUUGGUGGGGUAAUGGCUUACCAAGGCGACGAUCCGUAACUGGUCUGAGAGGAUGAUCAGUCACACUGGAACUGAGACACGGUCCAGACUCCUACGGGAGGCAGCAGUGGGGAAUAUUGGACAAUGGGCGAAAGCCUGAUCCAGCCAUGCCGCGUGUGUGAAGAAGGUCUUCGGAUUGUAAAGCACUUUAAGUUGGGAGGAAGGGCAGUAAGUUAAUACCUUGCUGUUUUGACGUUACCAACAGAAUAAGCACCGGCUAACUUCGUGCCAGCAGCCGCGGUAAUACGGAGGGUGCAAGCGUUAAUCGGAAUUACUGGGCGUAAAGCGCGCGUAGGUGGUUCGGUAAGUUGGAUGUGAAAUCCCCGGGCUCAACCUGGGAACUGCAUCCAUAACUGCCUAACUAGAGUACGGUAGAGGGUGGUGGAAUUUCCUGUGUAGCGGUGAAAUGCGUAGAUAUAGGAAGGAACACCAGUGGCGAAGGCGACCACCUGGACUGAUACUGACACUGAGGUGCGAAAGCGUG